rnacentral:tRNA from 1 species
GCCGAUGUGGAGAAAUUGGUAAACUCAGUUGAUUCAAAAUCAACCGCUUCACGGCUUGCCGGUUCGAGUCCGGCCAUCGGUACCA